rnacentral:tRNA from 1 species
UGCGUUUUUAGUUUAAAUUGGAUAAAACAUCAAUCUUCUAAAUUGAAUAUGUAGGUUCGAGUCCAACAAAAUGCGA